GCCGGUAUAGCUCAGUUGGCCAGAGCACGUGAUUUGUAAUCUCGGGGUCGUCAGUUCGAAUCUGUCUACCGGCUCAA
rnacentral:tRNA from 1 species